UAAAUGAUAGUGGUUCUUUUAAAUUCAAAGCACAUAAUCAUGAACCGCCCAGCUUUCCAAUCACUGCAUGGCAUCUUUUAGUACAAGUUGUAAAGGACGAAGCACAUGUUGAAUCAUAUCAAGAUGCCGCGCAAAUCAACAUAGACGAUCCAUUAUAAAGAGUUAAAAGGAAAAAGCUCAACAAGUAGACGCACUAUUCCUUUAAUCAGUGGCUAACUUUUGUUACCGCCAACCAAAAUGGUUAAAAAAAACACAGGCUUUAUAGACAGUUUCUCUAAAAAUGUUUCAGAGACAAUGUAGCCUUCGAUAUUGUUUAGCAUCCAUAAUUUAUGUGUGCGAGUUCAAUCGAUUCUCCAAGUGUCCUUCCAUCCACUAAAUAUAGAGGACAGAGAAAUGAAACUCUAUGGUGGCUGUCAAGCUUUAACUGAAUGAAUCAAGUUUGCAGCAGCAGUACUUUGAACAACCCCAAUGAAACAUUUUCUGCCUUUUAAUUACAUUAAGAUCGAAAGUUUGGGCGGAGAGCCAUGGCAGAAUAUGGUGCACGAUUGAUCGUUCCCAUAGAUGUCAAAAAGAAGCCAUGGGAGCAGAAACUUCCACUUCACAACCGGUGGCACCCAGAAUACCACCAGUCGCAGAGGUAACAGUGGGAGAGCUUUCCGGGGUUGAGAUGGUGGAAUUCAGUGGAGAUGGAAUCACGAAGGAAUACGCCACAGAGGACAUCAAGAACGCUGAUCCGUCUACCGAAUUGCUUGAAAGGCAUUUCAUUAAAAAAAAAAAAAAUCUAAGAGCAAACGAUGAUGCAGAUAUAUAAAGCCUGUCCGAACUUCAAAAGUAGAAGUAGUAGGAGUCAGAAAUCCAAGACAACAAAGAUACAGAACCUGAAUCAUGUACUCCUACUAAUUAUACAAGUUAACUCCUCUUCCAACGAUGUUGUUUGGUUAACCUAAUAAUUUUACAACAAAAGAUCACAUUCUCAAGCUCUCUGCAUCUCCACUGGUGUAUUUAUGGCUCCUUCAACCGCAAGACUAGUACUGCCAACAGACUUGAAGAAGCAGCCUUGGGAGCAAAAACUCCCUAUCCACAACCGUUGGUCCCGAAAUACCACCGGUUGCAGAGGUUAAAGCUGGAGAGGUCUUUCCAGUAGAGAUGGUAGACUGGACCGGAGGUAUGAUCGAUCGAGGAUGAUGAUUCUGCAGUUGAUGUAAAAACCAUUGACCUAUCAACUGUUCAUUAUCUCAGUUUCCCAAUCAGAGUUUUGGACAAGGAUGGGAACCCAGCAAAGCCAGGUGAUCUUCUUGCUGUUGAAAAUAUGCAACUUGGGUCCUCUCCCUCGAGAUGAAUGGGGUUUUGCAGCAUAUCAUUUGACAGAGAAAAUGGAGGUGGUUCCUUGACUGGCCAUUUUCCUUGUGCAACCAAAGCUAUUUGGCAUAAUUUUGAAGGAAUACAUGCUUAUUCGCCUCAAAUACCAUCAACAAGGGGAUAAAGUUUAUUUGAUAACUGAUAUAGAGAAUACAAUGGUGUUUCUCACAGAUAUAUCUUUUGCUAUCAUGCUGUCCAUGUGAAGGAAGGAUUUCUGGAAAAGCCGAUUCUCCUAAUGCUGGUGCGUGCGACCUUUGCAGUCCCAAUUAGCAGCUAUCUGUGAUCAGGUAGUUAAUUCACAUCCUAUCUCCAGAUUAACAUACAUUCUCAAAUAGAAUGUAUGACGUUCUAUUAUCUGGUACCCAAGGGAGAAUUGAACUGAAGAGCUAUGCUAUUCCUUCCCGUAAUCCCAGACACUCUACUGAUGCGAACUGGGGUUGACAGAAUAGUUCACCUAUUCAAACAAUUACAGUAUAUAAGAGUUUACUUGUAACCUGCAUGAACCUUAAAUAUCUUCACAGCAAACAAGAAUCCUCAUAAUGGAAAAGCAAGGAGUAGUAGUUAUCAGCAGCGAAGAUUUGAAGACAGGAAAAUGUCAUCACUUUGCGUCCUUUGUGAUUCUCCUGGGUUUUGAAAUGGUGUUGGAUGAGUGCACUGUGCAGGAUAUUCGUCCAAAGACAAAGGUGCCAAAUGGACCCUGGCUUGUGAGGACACCAGAUGUGUCCUAAAAUGCACAUAUGAUGGAUAUUUGCCCAUAACUAAGAAACCCAGCGCUAUGACUUGAACAGAAACACGGUGGUCAAUAAAAACAGAAGAUUUGGGCUAAAUCUUUAAAGCCUAUUGUAUCGAUGAGAUAAAACAUGCCACUACAAGCAUGCUGAACAAUAACAGAUUGUCACAACGUAUAUAUAUCGCACUGAAUUUUAGAGUCAAACAAAAAUAUAAUUUAUUCGAUUA